rnacentral:rRNA from 1 species
GACGAACGCUGGCGGUGUGCUUAACACAUGCAAGUGGUGCGACGAACCAGAGCUUGCUCUGGGGCAAAGCCGCGAACGGGUGAGUAACACGUGGGUAAUCUACCCCGAUGACCGGGACAACCCGAGGAAACUCGGGCUAAUACCGGAUGUGGUGCGGAGACAUAAGUCUCUUCACUAAAGGUAGCUUCGGCUUCCGCAUUGGGAGGGGCCCGCGGCCCAUUAGCUUGUUGGUGGGGUCAAGGCCUACCAAGGCAACGAUGGGUAGCUGGUCUGAGAGGACGAUCAGCCACACUGGGACUGAGACACGGCCCAGACUCCUACGGGAGGCAGCAGUGGGGAAUCUUGCGCAAUGCGCGAAAGCGUGACGCAGCAACACCGCGUGAGGGAAGACGGCCUUAGGGUUGUAAACCUCUUUCAGAUGGGACGAAGGUUCUCCGGUGAAUAGCCGAGAGGAUUGACGGUACCGUCAGAAGAAGCUCCGGCUAACUACGUGCCAGCCGCCGCGGUAAGAC